CGGUUCCGCCUUACCCAGUCCUUGUUGUCGGCAAUCGUAGCCGACUCUUUAAAAGAAAGGAACGGAUGGCCUGGGCCAGUACCCGUCCCUUGUUUUUCCUCGUCUCCUCGCUCGCCGGAGCUGCGAUCCCACGACGGGUGUGCCAUAUAAGGGCUAUUAUGUGGCGUGCUGGGGCGAAGCUCGCUGCUCUCACCCUUCUUGGUGGAGCAGGGGCCGCAGCCAUCGCUACCUCUGACGAUCCCUCAAGCACUUUCAAGAUUUGCACUAUCGUUCCCCUUCGCCUCAAAAAGAAAGAAACGGAAGGCCUCUGCCCAUACCCGUCCCUUGUUUUUCCUCGUCUCCUCGCUCGCCGGAGCUGCGAUCGCACGACGGGUGUGCCAUAUAAGGGCUAUUAUGUGGCGCGCUGGGGCGAAGCUCGCUGCUCCCACCCUUCUUGGCGGAGCAGGGGCCGCAGCCAUCGCUACCUCUGACGAUCCCUCAAGCACUUUCAAGAUUUGCACUAUCAUUCCCCUUCGCCUCAAAAAGAAAGGAACGGAAGGCCUCGGCCAAUAGCCGUCCCUUGUUUUUCCUCAUCUCCUCGCUCGCCGGAGCUGCGAUCCCACGACGGGUGUGCCAUAUAAGGGCUAUUAAGUGGCGGCUGGGGCGAAGCCCGCUGCCCUCACCCUUCUUGGCAGAGCAGGGGCCGCAGCCAUCACUACCUCUGACGAUCCCUCAAGCACUUUCAAGAUUUGCACUAUCGUUCCCCUUCGCCUCAUCGGCGACUCCAUCACCGCUGCUACCAUGGCCUUCGACUAUCAGUAUUCAUUAUGGGGGCUUAAAGAAGGAAGUGUUGAAUGGUUGAGAGCCAAGCAUGAAGUCCAUAAUCAGUUUGCUUAUAGGCUUCAAGAGUUAUGCUUCCAUAGUGGAGGAAUUUACAUCAAGCUUGGUCAACAUAUUGGUCAAUUGGAAUAUAUAGUUCCUCAAGAAUACGUACAAACAAUGAGGGCCUCAAUGCUGAAGAGAUGUCCAGUUUCCUCUUGUGAUCAAGUGCGAAGUGUAUUUGUGAAAGAGCUUGGGGCCACCAGAGAAAAUUUUUGCAGAAUUUGAUCCAAUUCCACUGGCAAGUGCUUCUCUUGCGCAAGUUCAUGCUGCUAAAACUCAUGAUGGCGAAAAGUCUCUCUGUAAAGGUUGUCUUCUGAGCUAUGCAAGGGCUUAAUUAUGUUAAUGUCCAGGUUCAACACACUCACUUGAUGGAUACUGCCAUUGCAGAUAUUGCUACUGUGGGUUUGGUAGUGAAUUUCUUGCACUGGUUCUUUCCUGCUUUUGAUUAUAGAAAUCCUCGCUUUCAGCUGAAACAUUCUCAAUGCCAUAAGAUGGGCCUUCAUCUGCAUCAGUGCACUGCCGAAUGCCUAAGGUUGUAGCACAUGCUUGCAACAUAGCUUGGAUGUGAGAUGAUUUUUGAUAGAUGUCAUAUCAUCAUGCUUGUGGUCAAAACCUUCUUCUCAUAUCUGAUAUGCUGGGGAGAGCAUCAGUCUUGGAACUUAAUUUUUAAUCCAAAAACAUGACGGACAGAGAAAAAAAUAAAGAUGGAAAGAAAGGCAGAGAAAUCCUUUCUUUCUUUCAACAGCCACAUACAAUGCUUUCAUCCAGUGACCUCUCUUACAAGCAAACUAGGAUUCUUCAAAUUGGAAAGUACCUAGAGAAAUCAGCUACCACCUAUUCAUUUAACUCCAAUUAAAAUCCCCAGAACCAUGCUUUAAAUUUUAUCUAAGAUUUUCUAGCUGGACACUAAGGAGACCUAACUAAAACUCCUAAAUGAAAAGUCAUGUAUGCUAUUCACUUUUGACAGUAUUGUAGCAUGUACAGUGCCAAACAGUAGAUUCGUUUUCUUACAAAGAAACACUUCAAUUAAUUAUUAAAUACUAAAACAAUUCAAAAUAGUUGUCUUUUUUUGUCAUCUUGACCUCUAAAUAGCAACCAGUCACGACAUAUGCCAUGGAUAUGGAUGCAAAGAAAUGCUCCAGCAUCAUUUGCUUCUGUUAUGCUUACCUGGUCCUCAAGAUCAUAUCCCUUAAAAUUUUGAUCGACCAUUCUGAGUCUUGAACAUUGGAUGAUAGAGGCCUAUGUAGAACAUUCUCCCUAUCACUUCAUUAAUCAUUUGUUGUGGUGCCCGACAAUUGGUAACUAUGAAUCUUUUGAUAACUUGAUUGAUAGUGUUUACCAAGGAAACUGCAGAAUUAGCAAGGAUCAUAUCUUCAACGUGCUUUGAUCCAGUUAUAGGUCUUAAUUGGUGUUGCUUUCAGCAAUUAGAAAUUCCUUUAAAAUUAUUUCUAUAGAGCCUUCAGUCUUCUUAACCAGAUUUUUUAAGCUGGUGCAUUUUCAAUCUUAGCAUCUAAAUUUGAAGGAUGAGCACUUGCGUGAUUUUCAAUGUAGAAAUCCUCGCUUUCAGCUGAAACAUUCUCACUGCCAUAAGAUGGGCCUUCAUCUGCAUCAGUGCACUGCCGAAUGCCUAAGGUUGUAGCACAUGCUUGCAACAUAGCUUGGAUGUGAGAUGAUUUUUGAUAGAUGUCAUAUCAUCAUGCAUGUGGUCAAAACCUUCUUCUCAUAUUUGAUAUGCUGGGGAGAGCAUCAGUCUUGGAACUUAAUUUUUAAUCCAAAAACUUGACGGAGAGAGAAAAAAAUAAAGAUGGAAAGAAUGGCAGAGAAAGGUAGGGUCCAUCAGUUCUAAUGCCAAAAUUGAUGUAGGACAGAUUAAGGAUGGCUUACAGGCAUAGCUGGACCUGUGGAAGGGAUUAGACAAGGGUUUAGGUCAAGAGAUCUCCCUGCUGUCCUGUUAUAGAAAACAGGACAGAAAAAGUUCAAGGAAGCACAAAAUUUUUGUUUUAGGUUUUUAGAUGAGAUAUAUGUCCACAAGUUUUUCAAGAAAACUUGUCAUGGGGUUGCUUCAUACUUGUCCUAUAACAGAAAUUUGGAUUGCAAAUUUUAUUGAUAUAAAAAAAGGAUGGAAGUGUCGUUUAGAAAGAGCAAAAACAGUGAUUGGAGAUGAUAAAAGAGAGAUCAAGAAGAAAAGGAUGGUGGUGUGUAAAUAGUUUAGAAGUGUGAGCUAUUUAUACAUCAAAAAUCAUGUGAUUUAAAGACUCCAGCCCAUGCAUCAAGUGAUGUUUAACUAGUUUAGAAGUAAUAGAUUACGUCCAACAGCUCAAAUCAUUGAUGUAGGACCUUCAUCAUCCAAUAUAAGCCUAAAUGGUUCUGAGUAGAGAUCCAUUCAAGCAUAGCUAAGUCUAUCUAAAUCAUAUGAAAGAAAAAACAGAUGGAUCAUAGAAUGUCAUACCAGUCCAAACUGGGCGGUACAGAGUGUACCGUACUGGUUUGGUGCUGAUAUUUGGUACGGGUGGCAUACUGAUACUCGGUACGCUAAAAAACCUCUGUACUGUACCGAUAUUUUAUUAGUGCGGCACUGAUACGGGGUCCGAUAUCGAAACGACGAACCUUGAGAUGGAUGACAACCUUUUUUUCUUCAAUAAAAUUCUACGGAUGGCUUGUUAAUGGUUUGUUUCUACAUCAACCAUUACUCUUUAAUUGCAACAAAUAUAAAAGAUAAUCAUGGAUUAUCUAUUUCUUGAGAGCUUGUAAAUAAAAUAUAUGUAUAAAUAAUAAAAUUAUAUAUAUUCAUUCUUUCAUUUUUAUCAAGGGAAAAGGAUUGAUAGUUAUAAAAAUAAUUAAUUAUUAAAUAGAAAGUACCAUCCUAAUUAUUCUAUUUAAUGAUAGGACUGAGAUUUAAAUAUGUAAAAUAAACCAUACCUGCAUAACAGGAUUGAAUGUUGUACCCUGGUGGUUUGUUGUCCAAGUAACAUGCCACAAGUACGAUUCUACGCAUGGGAAUAAAAUUAUUUUGGGACAAUAUUUUACUGGAAUUUACCAGAUAUCUAGAUCUGGAUUCGGAAAAUCUUUAGAAUCUAAAUCCAGUUUUAGAUCUGGUAAAAUUUAUUGGUAAGUAUCCGGAUCCAAUUGGAUACUAGAAUUUGUAUCUGAAUCCAAUCCAAAUUGAGUAUGGUUGGAAAUUAUCCAACCUGUUUUCAGCCCUAUCCUUUGGACUCAUUACCUUACUGUUUUGGCUCUCUGAUGAUUUGCCUGGAGAGGAAGGAAUUGGCAAAAUUUUUGUCAGUGUCAUCAACUGAAGACUUAAUCAAGGAUGAUGAGUGCUAUCAACUUGAGUCCUAGUAACGACCAAGAUAUUUCAAUUUCUUGCUUUCUUAAUUUACUUUUGACUCUUGGAUUGCUUGUAUUCAUUUCAGUACCCAUGAAAUGAAUUAAUGGUCCCUGCCAUCUUCUCUUUCAAAAAAGAAGGCCAAAAAUUUCUGCUAUAGGUCUUCAGGUGAGUUAUAGGUCCAAAGAAGAGUUUUUAAAGAAAACAACAUACUAGUUCUAUAACAGAAAUUGGGAUCACAAAUUUUAUGUUUCUGUAUGAAACAAAAUUCGUGAAGCAAGGGAGAAAUAUGAGAGAGAGAGAAGAAGGGUCAAACCUGACCUAAAGCAAUCCUUUCUUUCUUUCAACAGCCACAUACAAUGCUUUCAUCCAGCGACCUCUCUUACAAGCAAACUAGGAUUCUUCAAAUUGGAAAGUACCUAGAGAAAUCAGCUACCACCUAUUCAUUUCACUCCAAUUAAAAUCCCUAGAACCAUGCUUUACAUUUUAUCUAAGAUUUUCUAGCUGGGCACUAAUGAGACCUAACUAAAACUCCUAAAUGAAAAGUCAUGUAUGCUGUUCACUUUUAACAGUAUUGUAGCAUGUACAGUGCCAAACAGUAGAUUCGUUUUCUUACAAAGAAACACUUCAAUUAAUUAUUACAUACUAAAACAAUUCAAAAUAGUUGUUUUUUUUUUUGUCAUCUUGACCUCUAAAUAGCAACCAGUCACAACAUAUGCCAUGGAUAUGGACCCAAAGAAAUGCUCCAGCAUCAUUUGCUUCUGUUAUGCAUACCUAGUCCUCAAGAUCAUAUCCCUCAAAAUUUUGAUCGACCAUUCUGAGUCUUGAACAUUGGAUGAUAGAGGCCUAUGUAGAACAUUCUCCCUAUCACUUCACUAAUCAUUGUUGUGGUGCCUGACAAUUGGUAACUAUGAAUCUUUUGAUAACUUGAUUGAUAGUGUUUACCAAGGAAACUGCAGAAUUAGCAAGGAUCAUAUCUUCAACUUGCUUUGAUACAGUUAUAGCUCUUAAUUGGUGUUGCUUUCAGCAAUUAGAAAUUCCUUUAAAAUUCUAUAGAGCCUUCAAUCUUCUUAACCAGAUU